ensembl:lncRNA
GUUUAACUAGCGCAACGAGCCGUGGAAAGUGUUGACGCUCAUAUGUGUAAGUGUGUUCAAGCACGCAUGUGAGCUUGAUUAUUUUACUGUGUGUGUGUGUGUGUGGUCUAAGUAAGAAGUAUCGGCCCACCCGAACGCUUCUGUGUAUGUAGUUCCAUACCACACACACACAAAUGCAUUCGUACUCGGUACCCCGUCUCUCUAUUUCAGUUUCUGACUGAAACACAGCACUGGUCGGGGGGGGAGACCUCCGUCUCUGGUGAUCUGUUGAAAGGGUUUGGACGAGCCUCCUCUUGAUGAGAGUCCCACUCCAACGUCACUGUCGGCCGAAAUGGACUGAAGCAUAUGUUCUCUUACAGGGAGGCAAAGACCGCCUGGUCACAGAGGCGGAACAUUUUUAUCGUUCUACGUUACGAGGCUCCCUCGUGUCAUCACAAACAAUGGGACUGCGGGUAGAUUUUCACACAAGGUGAUUUCCUAAACAAAACAACUGGUACAAAAAGAACCCCUCUCUUCUAACUCACUGGAAGUCUGUGGUGGUGUCUGCAGUCCUUAUUUUGCUGUAUUCAUGUCUGUGCAGUACAUGAGGCCUGCUUAUUAGAAGCCUGGACAAUGAGCAGGGUGCUCUGUCCAUUCGUAUUCCUGCCUCAAACACAGCUAGACUCUCUCUCUCUCUCUCUCUCUCUCCAGCUACUUGUUGAGUGGGAGAAGAACCUGGUGUUAAUUUUCUACCCUGGUUUCUUGUUUUGCUUCUAUCCAACAACAAUAAAGAACGUGGUUCUACAACCAUUAAAGGCUCGAUUAUCCCACUUCUCUGGACUGGGGGGAGAAAGUGAUCGCUUUCUCUGUUUUAACUGCUCCUCACGGGAGGAGCGUCAGGCACUUUUGAUAUAUUUGUCUUUAUUUUUCUCAUCGACCAAUCACUUUGUUGAAUAGUAGGACAAAUUUAAGUCAAACCACAUUGUCUUUGGUUAAGUACUGCUCUAGUGACUUGGGAACUCAGCCAGCCAUGAGACUGACCUGACACAUUGACACAACAAGAAGCUGAGAUCAAGGCUCUGAGAGGGGCCGUGAAAAAGCAGAGACAAACAUCGUCGGGGUUUCAGGAUGGAAUGCGCAGUCACACCCAACGUUACAGUAAGAAUACCCUGGCAAACUCCCAUUUGCAUGCAUUUAUGCGUUAAGCACACAAGCACACGGUCAUACAUGUGUUUCCAAUAAAGCGGACAGGCAGGAGUAUAAUGGCAAGUGGCAGGAACGGGGUCAGGUUUCCCAUAGGUCCUGCCGCACCGUGGUGGGCAAUGGGUUUAGAAGUGGGUCCAGAAGUGUGCAUGGGUGUAUUUACACACGGCCAUGCCAGAGUGAACGUGUGUUUGAGAUUGGGGUUGUUUUCACAGUAGUGCGGGUGGAGGGAGCGGGACCCGCCCUCCGCUCGUGAACAGAGGACGGAUUGUGCAGCAGACGGAGAGUGGGCUGGAAGGCCCCGGCUGCCUUUUUUGGGGAGACCGUUGGACGGAAUGUUUCCCCAAAAAGCCGCCGUGUGACAGGUGGCCGAGAGAAUGCUGUCACAUUAGACCUCUCCCUACACCCCUCAAACCAAAACCGCCGAGGAUAACAUCUCGUUACUGAAUCCUAUCUUCUUUUCAUCAGUGUGUAACUGCUCUCUUCCAUUAUUGAUGCUAUAAGGAAGACUGAAAUAUUUACCCCGG